rnacentral:rRNA from 1 species
CAGUCGAGGGGCAGCAUAAUGGAUAGCAAUAUCUAUGGUGGCGACCGGCGCACGGGUGCGUAACGCGUAUGCAACCUACCUUUAACAGGGGGAUAACACUGAGAAAUUGGUACUAAUACCCCAUAAUAUCAUAGAAGGCAUCUUUUAUGGUUGAAAAUUCCGAUGGUUAGAGAUGGGCAUGCGUUGUAUUAGCUAGUUGGUGGGGUAACGGCUCACCAAGGCGACGAUACAUAGGGGGACUGAGAGGUUAACCCCCCACACUGGUACUGAGACACGGACCAGACUCCUACGGGAGGCAGCAGUGAGGAAUAUUGGUCAAUGGACGCAAGUCUGAACCAGCCAUGCCGCGUGCAGGAUGACGGCUCUAUGAGUUGUAAACUGCUUUUGUACGAGGGUAAACGCAGAUACGUGUAUCUGUCUGAAAGUAUCGUACGAAUAAGGAUCGGCUAACUCCGUGCCAGCAGCCGCGGUAAUACGGAGGAUUCAAGCGUUAUCCGGAUUUAUUGGGUUUAAAGGGUGCGUAGGCGGUUUGAUAAGUUAGAGGUGAAAUUUCGGGGCUCAACCCUGAACGUGCCUCUAAUACUGUUGAGCUAGAGAGUAGUUGCGGUAGGCGGAAUGUAUGGUGUAGCGGUGAAAUGCUUAGAGAUCAUACAGAACACCGAUUGCGAAGGCAGCUUACCAAACUAUAUCUGACGUUGAGGCACGAAAGCGUGGGGAGCAAACAGGAUUAGAUACCCUGGUAGUCCACGCAGUAAACGAUGAUAACUCGUUGUCGGCGAUAC